UACAGAGGUCUCAAGCGUUGUUCGGAUUCAUUGGGCGUAAAGGGUGUGUAGGUGGCGCGGCAAGUCGGGUGUGAAAUCUUGGAGCUUAACUCCGAAACUGCAUUCGAUACUGCCGUGCUUGAGGACUGGAGAGGAGACUGGAAUUUACGGUGUAGCGGUGAAAUGCGUAGAUAUCGUAAGGAAGACCAGUGGCGAAGGCGGGUCUCUGGACAGUUCCUGACGCUGAGGCACGAAGGCCAGGGGAGCAAACGGG
rnacentral:rRNA from 1 species